GCUGUGGCUCAGUGGUGGAACAUCUGCUCUGCAUGCAGAAGGCCCCGGGUUUAAUCCCUGGCGUCUCCA